CCUACGGUGGACAGCAGUGGGGAAUAUUGGGCAAUGGGCGCAAGCCUGACCCCGCAACGCCGCGUGAAGGAAGAAGGCUUUCGGGUUGUAAACUUCUUUUGUCAGGGACGAAGCAAGUGACGGUACCUGACGAAUAAGCCACGGCUAACUACGUGCCAGCAGCCGCGGGAAUACGUAGGUGGCAAGCGUUAUCCGGAUUUACUGGGUGUAAAGGGCGUGUAGGCGGGGAAAAAAGUCAGAUGUGAAAACCACGGGCUCAACCUGUGGCCGGGAUUUGAAACUGUUUUUCUUGAGUACUGGUGAGGCAGACGGAAUUGAUGGGGUAGCGGUGAAAUGCGUAGAGAGUAGGAAGAACAC
rnacentral:rRNA from 1 species